rnacentral:rRNA from 1 species
UACAGAGGUCUCGAGCGUUGUUCGGAUUCAUUGGGCGUAAAGGGUGCGUAGGUGGCGCUGUAAGUCGGGUGUGAAAUCCUGGGGCUUAACCCGGAACUGCAUUCGAUACUGCAGUGCUUGAGGACUGGAGAGGAGACUGGAAUUCAUGGUGUAGCAGUGAAAUGCGUAGAGAUCAUGAGGAAGACCAGUGGCGAAGGCGGGUCUCUGGACAGUUCCUGACACUGAGGCACGAAGGCCAGGGAGGCAAACGGG